AUUGAACGCUGGCGGCAGGCCUAACACAUGCAAGUCGAGCGGAUGAGUGGAGCUUGCUCCAUGAUUCAGCGGCGGACGGGUGAGUAAUGCCUAGGAAUCUGCCUGGUCGUGGGGGACAACGUUUCGAAAGGAACGCUAAUACCGCAUACGUCCUACGGGAGAAAGUGGGGGAUCUUCGGACCUUACGCUAUCAGAUGAGCAUAGGUCGGAUUAGCUAGUUGGUGAGGUAAAGGCUCACCAAGGCGACGAUCCGUAACUGGUCUGAGAGGAUGAUCAGUCACACUGGAACUGAGACACGGUCCAGACUCCUACGGGAGGCAGCAGUGGGGAAUAUUGGACAAUGGGCGAAAGCCUGAUCCAGCCAUGCCGCGUGUGUGAAGAAGGUCUUCGGAUUGUAAAGCACUUUAAGUUGGGAGGAAGGGCAGUAAGUUAAUACCUUGCUGUUUUGACGUUACCAACAGAAUAAGCACCGGCUAACUUCGUGCCAGCAGCCGCCGUAACAC
rnacentral:rRNA from 1 species